CUGAAGAUGAUGUUCCUGAAGCCUAGAGAUGUCAGCACUCGCAGUCAGCCGCUUUAUCAUCCAUUGCUCCAUUAACCUCAUCCACCUGGUCAACACAAUUCAAACAUACCAGAUACAGACUCAGUUAAAACAGAUAUGGGUGCAAGUCAUGACACUUUUACAGAUUAAAGAUGUCCGAGAUUCACGAUGAAUGCUGUUUGAAGAAGAAUGAACAGAAUCACAUUUUAAUUUAAUCUCACUGCCAAUGU